GACGAACGCUGGCGGCGUGCCUAAUACAUGCAAGUUGAGCGCUGAAGGUUGGUACUUGUACCAACUGGAUGAGCAGCGAACGGGUGAGUAACGCGUGGGUAAUCUGCCUUUGAGCGGGGGACAACAUUUGGAAACGAAUGCUAAUACCGCAUAAAAACUUUAAACACAAGUUUUAAGUUUGAAAGAUGCAAUUGCAUCACUCAAAGAUGAUCCCGCGUUGUAUUAGCUAGUUGGUGAGGUAAAGGCUCACCAAGGCGAUGAUACAUAGCCGACCUGAGAGGGUGAUCGGCCACAUUGGGACUGAGACACGGCCCAAACUCCUACGGGAGGCAGCAGUAGGGAAUCUUCGGCAAUGGACGAAAGGCUGAACGAGCAACGCCGCGUGAGUGAAGAAGGUUUUCGGAUCGUAAAACUCUGUUGGUAGAGAAGAACGUUGGUGAGAGUGGAAAGCGCAUCAAGUGACGGUAACUACACAGAAAGGGACGGCUAACUACGUG
rnacentral:rRNA from 1 species